rnacentral:rRNA from 1 species
ACACAUGCAAGUCGUGGGAGAAGGGGGGUGCUUGCACCCCCUGGAGACCGGCGGAUGGGUGAGUAACGCGUAGGCAACCUGCCUGGUAGAUGGGGAUAACAUCGAGAAAUCGGUGCUAAUACCCGAUGAUGCAGCGGCCCCGCAUGGGGACAGUUGUUAAAGCCUUCGGGCGCUACCAGAGGGACCUGCGUGCCAUUAGCUAGUUGGUAGGGUAAGAGCCUACCAAGACGAUGAUGGGUAGGGGUCCUGAGAGGGAGAUCCCCCACCACUGGUACUGAGACACGGACCAGACUCCUACGGGAGGCAGCAGUGAGGAAUAUUGGUCAAUGGUCGCAAGACUGAACCAGCCAUGCCGCGUGCAGGAAGACGGUCCUAUGGAUUGUAAACUGCUUUUAUACAGGAAGAAACCCUCCCACGUGU